UACGGAGGGUGCGAGCGUUGUCCGGAUUUAUUGGGUUUAAAGGGUGCGUAGGUGGCUUGUUAAGUCCGGGGUGAAAGCCCACAGCUCAACUGUGGAACUGCCCUGGAUACUGGCGAGCUUGAGUCCAGACGAGGUUGGCGGAAUGGAUGCUGUAGCGGUGAAAUGCAUAGAUAGCAUCCAGAACCCCGAUUGCGUAGGCAGCUGACUAGGCUGGUACUGACACUGAGGCACGAAAGCGUGGGGAGCGAACAGG
rnacentral:rRNA from 1 species